UUACGCCGCUCACCCCAGGAGACCCGCCCCCAGCCAGCAGCAGUCUUGGGUUCCUGAUGCUGCCAUGGGCGCCAGGCUCCUCUGCUGUGUGACUCUCUGCCUCCUGGGAGCAGGCCUGGUGGAUUCUGGAGUCACCCAGACCCCCAAGUACCGGAUCAAAUCAAGAAAGCAGCAAGCGACUCUGAUGUGUUCCCCUGACUCUGGACACCUCUCUGUGUACUGGUAUCCACAGGCUCUGGGCCAGGGCCCCCAGUUCCUUGUUCAGUAUUAUGAUGGGGAAGAGUAUCAAAAAGGAAACAUAUCGGAUCGAUUUUCAGCAAAACAGUUGAAUGACUCUUGCUCUGAGCUGAGCUUGACCCCCUUGGAGCUGAGGGACUCCACUCUGUAUCUCUGUGCCAGCAGCCAAGACACAGUCCUGCAUGAUCAGGUGCCUCUGGGACAAAAACACUCCUGCCCCAGCUCAGGAAGUGGUGCCCAGAGUGUCAGCUGCCAGGCUGCCAAGCCCAGUCUCUGGUAGAGCGAUAGACUUUCCCAGACAUUUACUCCUUGGUAUGUUUAAAUGCUCACUAAGGUCAUCAAUACAAGUAUUGUUUUAACUGUUUGUAAUUCUGAGGGGUCGUGAGUGGCCCAGAUCUCAUACUUCAUAAGUGUUACAGCGAGCAUUCCGGCCCAAGUCUGUUCUCUAAACCUGUGGUCCCUUCGCUCACAGAUAUUUCUCUGUACAAGCAAAUUACAUUUACACGUUAUAUUAUCUGUAACAAGAUACAAUUUUGGGCUCUAUGAUAUGAAUUGCUACUCAAUGAAUGGCAGCCACACUUCACAAGGAGGUAUUCCCAUGGGAGGAAUGUCUCAAAUAAAAACAGAGCCUUUUUCGUUUACCGUGGCAUCUGCACCUCCCUCCAGGUCCCUCCUACAUCUGUAUUCCUUGUGCCAAAACGUCAUCUUGUGCUGGGUGCCCAGCUUCUCUCCACCCAGAAAGGUGGGUCACAGGCCUGAGGGGGCUCUGCUGGCUCCCUUCCCCCCAACACGGGAAACAUGUGUGAACAUGAAGGGGCUGUACCUGCUUUGACCGGUGGACCGUCUGUCAGUGAACUGAUUAGAAACAGACCAAAGAAUUCCUCAAAUGUUGAUGAGCCUGUGAUGAGGUUGGCAGCAGAAACCUGGAGAAACAUGGUAGGUGGAGGGACAUUCUCAAGACUGCGGAAUGGAGUCAGUUUUGCGGAAAUGGAGCCUUGAAAUGCUAUUGGGACAUAUCAUAAAGGGC